rfam:Punica granatum cultivar Dabenzi scaffold160, whole genome shotgun sequence.
GCUGGGCUUGGUAACGCAAGCUUGUCACCUAAGUGGGGGCUUCAGGGUCAUGGAACAUGGGCUUGGGUUCAUUUGAUCGGGCUUGUUGAGAUUGAAAUCUGGCCCGCCCGUUCCAAGCUGAGAGCUGGGUCACGUGGGCCGGGCGAAGGCCCGGGCUUCAUUGACCUCUACAGUGGAGGGGAUUGCGUGAGGCUGGCUUCACAGAGCAACGAAAACCUCCCGCUCCCAGCAGUGGAAGGAUAACGGGCCGUUGCUUUACAGGUCCGUCAUGGCCCAAUGAGCCAAUCCCACAUGAACUAUCACCUUU